CCUCCACUUUCAUUAAUGAGGUGCCAAGAAUACAAUGGACUGAAAAUGAAGUUUCUAGGAUGAACAUAAUUGAGAACCUACAAUAUGCUAUUAUAGGAAAAUUCUCAUAUGGAUGGCCAGAGAUUGAGGAACUUCGGAAGAUAAUACCAUCUCAAUGUGGUAUGAAAGGAGAAUGUCAAGUCUGCGUUUUUAGACAUAGGCAUGUGCUAAUUCGACUAUCUCUAAUGGAGGACUAUGUGAAUUAACUUCAAAGGGUUCAUAUUAGCUAAACUCUAAGGAUGUAUUAUCAAAUGAGACCUUCGAUCUAUGAUCCCAAUUUCAAAUUGGAGUAGGAGACCACUAAAGUCAUGGCUUGGAUCUCAUUCUCGGAUUUACUGCCUACAUAUUAUGUGAAGGAAUCAUUGUUUCCACUAGCUGUUGCAAUUGGAAAAACAUUACAUCUUGAUCAUGCAACAAUAAACAAGACACGCCCUAGUUGUUUUAGGGUAAAGGUUUUGGUAGAUCUUAAUUCAGAUUUACUUUAAAAAAAAAAAAAAAAAAUUAAAGGCCACUAGGCAUUUAUUACCCAGGGUUGUUUUAUUCAUUUAUUCAAAACAGAAAAUAAAAGGUCUGUACGUCCAAAACAAAACAAAAUGCAAAUAGCUAACUAAAAUUAGAAAGUGAAGACCAGGUAAGUCAGUGGUUGGGUUGGCCUUGUGUCGAUGUUGUCGCCGGUGGAGCUUCUGUCCCUUCGAUUGCUUCCAUCUUUCUCUUGCUGAAACUCAGGCACAAAUAUCUCUUCUGGCUUUGGAUCCUCCUUCUUGGGCCGGUACUCUGGAUGAACAACCCAACAAUUAUGUAUGUCAUGUCCCUGUAGUUUGCAUUGGGUACAAUAUUUAGGCAGAUACUCGUAUUGUAUUUUUUGCCAUUUAGCCUUUGUUUCUCCAGUAUCCUCGUCUACACAACUAAUAUGUAUUCUUUUUGGUUUGUGGGUAAACCAGGGAAUGAAAUCCAUGCCACUGCAAUUGUUGUUUCCUCGUCCGGGUUAAACCAUGAAUCUCAUAUUAAGCUCCUCAAAGGAUAGAUCCUUCCCCUAUAUUGUAUUUCCCACGCAGUUGAUGUAAGUCUUUGCAUAAUCUUCAAGUAAAGAGAGGCGUAGUAGUAUGUGUCUCUCCUCUAGAAAACCAAUGUCGCAUCGACCUUUAAUCUCCAAUUAAUUGGAAGGAUCUUCUUCAAUA